AUCUCGAACUUUGACAUAAGCCGCUAGGAAAUAUAUAUUUUAAUCACGAGGCGAGAUAAUUCGAAUUAAAAUGGACCCUCUCUAGUCUCUACUGCUUUUUUCAAUGUCUUAGCCGUUUGAAUAUUUUUGAAAAAAUAAAAGAAAAUAGGUUUCUCAUUUACGAAACUAACCUCUACAAGCCUACUUUAUUACGUGAGAAAGCCCUUUCCAAAUUCAAAUUCGAACAGCGCCUCAAAGUACAAAACAUAAAGAUGCAAUCUCAGCCGUCCAUUUCAUCUUCUUUCUUUUACAUUCCUUUCUCCGUCCUGCU